UCAUAUAAUACAGAAGGAGAGGAGACGCUCUUAUUCCAGGUAUAAUACUCAUAUAAUACAGAAGGAGAGGAGACGCUCUUAUUCCAGGUAUAAUACUCAUAUAAUACAGAAUGAGAGGAAACACUCUUAUUCCAGGUAUUAUACUCAUAUAAUACAGAAAGAUCCAGAAGGAGAGGAGACGCUCUUAUUCCAGGUAUAAUACUCAUAUAAUACAGAAAGAUCCAGAAGGAGAGGAGAUGCUCUUAUUCCAGGUAUAAUACUCAUAUAAUACAGAAAGAUCCAGAAGGAGAGGAGACGCUCUUAUUCCAGGUAUAAUACUCAUAUAAUACAGAAGGAGAGGAGACGCUCUUAUUCCAGGUAUAAUACUCAUAUAAUACAGGAGAGACACUCUUAUUCCAGGUAUAAUACAGAAGGAGAGGAGACGCUCUUAUUCCAGGUAUAAUACUCAUAUAAUACAGAAGGAGAGGAGACGCUCUUAUUCCAGGUAUAAUACUCAUAUAAUACAGAAGGAGAGGAGACACUCUUAUUCCAGGUAUAAUACUCAUAUAAUACAGAAGGAGAGGAGACACUCUUAUUCCAGGUAUAAUACUCAUAUAAUACGGAAGGAGAGGAGACGCUCUUAUUCCAGGUAUAAUACUCAUAUAAUACAGAAAGAUCCAG
rnacentral:lncRNA from 1 species